AGGAUAUAAUGGCAAGUUGGGAUGAGGAUAUAAGUGCAAGUUCGGAUGAGGAUAUAAUGGCAAGUUGGGAUGAGAAACUUCUUACAGCUGCAAAGGAGGGGAAUAUAAAAGAGGUAGAAAUAUGUAUAAAGAACAGAGCUAACUUGGAAUGUAGAGAUAAUUUUGUAAG